CUUUUAGGAUCCAGCGUAUCCAAAGAGCCCAAAACUGUUAUGGCUGGUCAGGAUGUUGUGUAAGGGCUACAGCAAGGCUCUACAGGAGAAUCACAGUUGAGAACCAUAAAAUUUUGGAGCAAAACUAUGUUCUCUUCAAGUAACUUUUCUUUUUCACUGAACACUUGAACGUGGCCCAUCAGAGAUCUGAGCUGUUCCCCAUGAACUGGAAGCUGUCUGAUCCACUAAGCAAAAAUUCACAAUAUAUUGAGGAUUAUUCCAUCAUUAAGUGGAAAUGAUUUACAGGAGGUCUCACUCCAGAAUGGUCUGAAAGCAAUGAGCUGAUCUCUCCAGCUGAGUUAUCUGGGUGUUGUGUCUUCACCUCAGAGUAGACAACUGAGACAUCCUGGAAUGGAAGAAAGAAGUGGAAACCAAGAGGGAGUAUGAGGCUGCAGACACCUGGAGAGAUACUGUGGGACCAUGGCUCGGCAGCACCUAACUUAGGAACAGCAAACUGCAUGAGAGAGAAUGAAAAUUGCACCAGUGAUUAGGGCGCCAAUUGAACCAACAGUGACUCUGAGAUUGCUCUGCAUUGGGACACCAUGAUGAAAUGGCAUCAGCCUCCUUCCUCAUAGAAGCAUGUGCCUGUGUGUUCUGAAGGGCAGGAGAGAAAAAAACGGAUGGUAAAAGUACACACAAUCAAUACAUUGUUAGGGGAUUUUGAUAUUUCCAUGGGGUCCAUUCUCCUAUCCUUUCAUCCACAGAAAAGGAGGUUUCAUUCAAUUUACUCAUUUAUACAGCAAGUAUUUACUGAGGCUACCCUGUGCCGGGCACUGAC